rnacentral:rRNA from 1 species
UACGUAGGGUGCGAGCGUUAAUCGGAAUUACUGGGCGUAAAGGGCGCGUAGGCGGCAAUUCAAGUCAGUUGUGAAAUCUCCGAGCUUAACUCGGAACGGUCAACUGAUACUGUUUUGCUAGAGUACAGAAGGGGCAAUCGGAAUUCUUGGUGUAGCGGUGAAAUGCGUAGAUAUCAAGAGGAACACCUGAGGUGAAGACGGGUUGCUGGGCUGAUACUGACGUGAGGCGCGAAAGCUAGGGUAGCAAACGGG